rnacentral:rRNA from 1 species
UACGAAGGGUGCAAACGUUGCUCGGAAUUAUUGGGCGUAAAGCGCACGUAGGCGGCUUUGCAAGUCGGAUGUGAAAUCCCUCGGCUUAACCAAGGAAGUGCAUCCGAAACUGCAGAGCUUGAGUACUUAAGAGGAUCGCGGAAUUCCCGGUGUAGAGGUGAAAUUCGUAGAUAUCGGGAGGAACACCGGUGGCGAAGGCGGCUACCUGGACAAUUGCUGACGCUCAGGCACGAAAGCGUGGGGAGCAAAAGGG